rnacentral:rRNA from 1 species
UCAGGACGAACGCUGGCGGCGUGCUUAACACAUGCAAGUCGAACGAUGAUGCCCAGCUUGCUGGGUGGAUUAGUGGCGAACGGGUGAGUAACACGUGAGUAACCUGCCCCUGACUCUGGGAUAAGCGUUGGAAACGACGUCUAAUACUGGAUAUGAUCACUGGCCGCAUGGUCUGGUGGUGGAAAGAUUUUUUGGUUGGGGAUGGACUCGCGGCCUAUCAGCUUGUUGGUGAGGUAAUGGCUCACCAAGGCGACGACGGGUAGCCGGCCUGAGAGGGUGACCGGCCACACUGGGACUGAGACACGGCCCAGACUCCUACGGGAGGCAGCAGUGGGGAAUAUUGCACAAUGGGCGAAAGCCUGAUGCAGCAACGCCGCGUGAGGGAUGACGGCCUUCGGGUUGUAAACCUCUUUUAGUAGGGAAGAAGCGAAAGUGACGGUACCUGCAGAAAAAGCACCGGCUAACUACGUGCCAGCAGCCGCGGUAAUACGUAGGGUGCAAGCGUUGUCCGGAAUUAUUGGGCGUAAAGAGCUCGUAGGCGGUUUGUCGCGUCUGCUGUGAAAUCCCGAGGCUCAACCUCGGGCUUGCAGUGGGUACGGGCAGACUAGAGUGCGGUAGGGGAGAUUGGAAAUUCCUGGUGUAGCGGUGGAAUGCGCAGAUAUCAGGAGGAACACCGAUGGCGAAGGCAGAUCUCUGGGCCGUAACUGACGCUGAGGAGCGAAAGCAUGGGGAGCGAACAGGAUUAGAUACCCUGGUAGUCCAUGCCGUAAACGUUGGGCGCUAGAUGUAGGGACCUUUCCACGGUUUCUGUGUCGUAGCUAACGCAUUAAGCGCCCCGCCUGGGGAGUACGGCCGCAAGGCUAAAACUCAAAGGAAUUGACGGGGGCCCGCACAAGCGGCGGAGCAUGCGGAUUAAUUCGAUGCAACGCGAAGAACCUUACCAAGGCUUGACAUACACCGGAAACGGCCAGAGAUGGUCGCCCCCUUGUGGUCGGUGUACAGGUGGUGCAUGGUUGUCGUCAGCUCGUGUCGUGAGAUGUUGGGUUAAGUCCCGCAACGAGCGCAACCCUCGUUCUAUGUUGCCAGCGGGUUAUGCCGGGGACUCAUAGGAGACUGCCGGGGUCAACUCGGAGGAAGGUGGGGAUGACGUCAAAUCAUCAUGCCCCUUAUGUCUUGGGCUUCACGCAUGCUACAAUGGCCGGUACAAAGGGCUGCGAUACCGUAAGGUGGAGCGAAUCCCAAAAAGCCGGUCUCAGUUCGGAUUGAGGUCUGCAACUCGACCUCAUGAAGUCGGAGUCGCUAGUAAUCGCAGAUCAGCAACGCUGCGGUGAAUACGUUCCCGGGCCUUGUACACACCGCCCGUCAAGUCAUGAAAGUCGGUAACACCCGAAGCCGGUGGCCUAACCCUUGUGGAAGGAGCC